UAUAGGGGGAGAGAAGGAGAAGGAGAAGGCGAGAAAAGACGGCCUUGCCUUCUCACAUCUCCGGACAUCUGUGGAAGGCUGCUUCAUUGUGUUAUAUGAUUUGUCUCCCUUGUGACGAAUACCCACGGGGACGAACCUCACUCCUGGGCAAGUUUUUCGCUCAGUUCAGCGGAUAGAAAAGAGGGAGGUGUUAACUAAAAUUCAAACCCUCUAGCGAAUAUGCAGCCCAUGCAAGGGCAUCCAACCCGAAAAGGGGUUACGGAGGACGGACA
rnacentral:sRNA from 1 species